rnacentral:rRNA from 1 species
CCUACGGGUGGCAGCAGUGGGGAAUAUUGGACAAUGGGCGAAAGCCUGAUCCAGCCAUGCCGCGUGUGUGAAGAAGGCCUUCGGGUUGUAAAGCACUUUCAGUGGGGAAGAAAGCCUUGGGGCUAAUACCCUCGAGGAAGGACAUCACCCACAGAAGAAGCACCGGCUAACUCCGUGCCAGCAGCCGCGGUAAUACGGAGGGUGCGAGCGUUAAUCGGAAUUACUGGGCGUAAAGCGCGCGUAGGCGGUCUGAUAAGCCGGUUGUGAAAGCCCCGGGCUCAACCUGGGAACGGCAUCCGGAACUGUCAGGCUAGAGUGCAGGAGAGGAAGGUAGAAUUCCCGGUGUAGCGGUGAAAUGCGUAGAGAUCGGGAGGAAUACCAGUGGCGAAGGCGGCCUUCUGGACUGACACUGACGCUGAGGUGCGAAAGCGUGGGUAGCAAACAGGAUUAGAUACCCUAGUGUC